rnacentral:lncRNA from 1 species
CUGAGCACUGCGGGACACAACGCUCUGUAAUAGGGACAAACCCAGGAGGCGCUACCGUUUCAGAGGAUCAAAGGAGACUGAAGGCAGCCCGCCAGGUUUCCACUCAGCGGCUUAGGACUAAUUCUACAUCUGCAUGGGACAGACCUUUGCCAAUCAAAGGAAACCGGUGGAGAGGGGUCACCUGCCAGCCCCAAGUAUUGGAGACAGUGAUGGCAGCCAAGGACUAAUGCCACCUCUAUGAGGAGGUAAUCUACCUGCUGGACUCCCUGCUUCGGACAUUCCUACAGAAGGGUGUGUAUGGCAUCACCACACCAUAUGAUGUGUUGACUGCAAGGGUGAAAGAACUCCUGGGACUUAUCAAAGCAAUUUUGAAAAAAACAAAAAAAAAAGGGGAUUGCCUGAUAUGUAAAUGAACUGUGGAAGUUGUUGAGAUUGUUUAAAUCACAUUGUGGCCUUGGAGUUUAUGCUGUG